GACAUUGCAACUGAAUGCAGACAACCUGUACAACAACGUCAUGUCAAAUAUGGCAAAGUUAACAAGCUGGCACGCAGUUGAGAUAUUUCUUUCCGAACACCGCAAACCAAACUUUGCAACGAUAUCAUGUGUGGCUGAUCGCUGGAUCACCAGAAAAUAGUGAAUAAGACUCGUCUCUAAAUUUCACCGCUCGGAAUUGCUUCGGCGUAAUGAAAGAAUAAUGCAUAUUUCAGAGAAUCUUCAAGACUAACCAAAUCCGAAAACCAGCUAAAAAAUGUUUUACAGCUGGUAAUUCUUGAUGUGAUUGGUUUGUUUCAGAACAAUCGAAAGGAAUGAAAUAAAUCUUUCUAUUGUUAAGCUUAAAACGAACUAUCUGAAACAAACAGUUAGUCACAAAGCUGCACGCGUAUGGAAUUCACUUCCUUCUUACAUAAAACUUCAUAAUAAUAUGUCUGCGUUCAAACGUGCUUUAAAGAAUUUUCUCUUGCUACAAUAGUUUUUAGCAAUUUAUUACUUGUAAUAACAAGAAUGUUGUUGAAUUAAUGUUAUUUGUUUUUAAAUGAGAGUGAAUGUUGAAUAAUUCGGUUACCAAUAAUAAUAAUAAUAAUUUUAUCGUCUCAUAAUCCAAAUCUGGAAUAUGUAUGUUAUUUCAUUGGACAGACGCCUUAAUUGUUAUGAAUUAAUCUUUGUGACGCUUGGUAAAUUUUUGAGCCAGGUUUGCAAUGGGUAGAUUUUCAGGAAAUAUGUCGCAAAGGUUUGAAUUUUCAAAGCCCGAAUGUUUGUUACCGUUUGGAAAACCUUAUCCAACUUACAUGGUUACAAAUUGCAACAAUGGCAACUUUUCUGUUAUAUACAUGCAGGUAUUGUUACAUAUGUAUUUUUAAUGUAAAACCUGGUAAGCUUAAAAUUCCUGUAUGUGGGGAUUGUGAUAAUCAAAUUCUAGACUUCUUUUAAAACAAGAUUACUUAUAAUUUAUGUAUAUCAUGAUUUUUAAGACUUCUAUAAUUUGAGACGUGUUUGUCGAAGAAACAUUUAAGUAAUUCUGAUAUGUGUAUUUUUGUAUAAAUAUUUGAUUAUAAAUUGACUGUAUGAUUGUGUAAAUGUAUGAACGUAUAUGAAAUUUAAUUUAAGACCAUACAGGACAUAAGUUGUAUGAUAUUUGUAUUUGUACACUUAGUAUG